rnacentral:lncRNA from 1 species
UUUUUAAGAGUGGCAUUUUAAAUCAGAGGGGAAUGAUGCAGAGACAAUUGGUUAGCACUCACAAACAAUAAACAAGCCAAAUAAAUAAGUAAAUGGAGCAGUAAGUUCGUGGAAGAAAUAAGAGAUGAAUUUUUAUAAACUGAGAAGAAGCAAUACCCUUCUAUGCUGGACAUAAAGACAGGAAGAAGACUGAAAAACCUGACUUACAGAAAAUUAGCAAAGAAAAAAAUACUGUAAACUAUGCCAAAUGACAAAUAAUCAGAGAAAAGAAUAUUUGUAAUACAUAAAACAGACCAAAAGUCCAACUACCUUAACUUGCAAAGAUCUACUACAAAUCAAAACUCAAUAAAAAAAAAAAAUGAGAGAAGGAUAUGAAAAGAGGUGCUGGUAGGUGUGAUGUGUGUGGUGAGUGAAGGAAGGCUUACAAAUAUACGAAAGGGUAUUAUAUGAGAAGAAAAUUAAAACAAUGAGGAAUUUUUCAUCUUUGAAAUUGGCAAAAUACUCUUCAUAAUGCAAUGUGGCAAGAAUGAGGAGAAACAACAUUCUCCUUUACCACAAACAGAAGUAUAAACUGAUGAAAUGUCACGGGAGAGGCAGUUUUCUAAACAUCCAUCAAAAUCUAAAAACAAACACACCUUACAUUUUAUGGGUAAGAACUUAUUCCCUAGUAAUACAAGAACACAUGGCCAAACUGAUGCAAAUGCAAUAAUGUUUAUUCCAUCACUGUUUGAAAUAACAAAAUAGUAGACCAACUCAAAUAUUUGUUACUAGAAAAUAUGUAAAUAAUGGACUAUCCAUCCAAACAACUACAAUAACAAAUUGAGACAGCUUCAUGUAUCAAUACCUAAGGUAAACUACCAAGUGAAAAAAAUGAUGAAUAAUAGAGUGUACGCAAUAUUUCCAUAUGUAUAUAAGGAAAUAUAGAUCUUUUAUCUAUACACAUUCAUGUUUCUCUAGGCAUAUAUUUAUGAAUGAUACGGAGUUAUUGUUAACACAAGUUAAUAUUCUGGGUGGACCCAGGAUUGAGGUGUUCAGGGUAGAAACCUUAUUUUACAACACUGUUUUGUUCUAUUUCUACUAUUUGAAUUACUUUUUAAUUUUUUUAUUUGGAUAGAGUUGAUACACAUUACAUUAGUUUCAGGUAUACAGCACAGUAAUUCAACAACCCUAUAUAUUAUACCAUCCUCACCACAAGUGUAGCUACCAUCUGUCCCCAUACGUUGCUAUUACAUGUCAUUGAUUAUAUUUUCUACACAGUACCUUUUAUUUCCAUGAUUUAUUCAUUCCAUAACUGGAAGCCUAUAUUUCCCAUGUCCCUUCACUCAUCUCCCCCCCACCCCUUCCUUCUGGCAACCAUCAGUUUGUUCUCUGUGUUUAUAGGUCUGAUUCUGCUUUUUUGUUUAUCUGUUUUGUUUUUAUUCUACAUAUAAGUGAAAUCAUAUGGUAUUUGUCUAUUAACAAGUAUAGCUCAGUAUUGGGAAUAGUGGAGUAAAGGCAAUGAUAACAUUGGCAAAACUGUCAAAGUCAUCUUCAAAGCUCUCCAAAUUAACUUCAGUUAAUUAUCUCAUUUUGCUCUUAAGGAGUAGCCUUGAAAACCAAGAGCCUCACAACUCUGGUAGCUAGAUAAACUAGCAGCCUAUCAACACAUAAGGAAUUAGAGAAGGUUUAGAAUUCCCAGAAAUGUCCAUACCCAGAAAACUGUCACUAUCUAUUUGCCUUAUCUGGCAUCUCACUAAAUGGUUCCACUUUUAAGGCAUUUUAUUUCAUGACUCAGAGUUGCCUCUAAGCAAACAGUCUUAACUUCUAAGCACUUGUUGAAGAAAAUCAGUAGCAACUGUUUAACACUGAAGAUGUUGGAGGUGGCUUUAACACCUGGGGCUAACAAGAGGCUGAUCGAUCAAAUAAAAAUUAAAGGGAAAAUUUAAGAAUUAAGAUGUUUACAUGGAGCUAUGAAAAACUCCAACAUAUUCUUGGACUCUAGUGAGUCAUGCACAUGCAAAGAUCUGGCCCAUGACCAUGAAGGACUUGAGAAGGUUCUAAUAAGCUCUCACCUCUGGCUGACUUUGAGACUUUGUGCAAGCAGAAAGUAAAAGCUAACCUUAGUGGAAUACUAAGGUUAUGCCUGCAACAAAUAUGCAGACCCCCUCAACAAAGGUUAAGAGAUUUAUUUGUUCAAUCUCCCAUCAAUCAUUUGCUAACUACUAAGGCAACAGAACAGAGAUGUUAGUGGCCACACAACAAAAAAUACACUUUACAGAAAAAUUACUUAAAAAACAAAUAGCAACAACAUCAAAAACCCAAAUAGAAAAAACAAAGAGCAACAAUAACAAACCCUGGGGAGGAGGGCAUCUGGUUUCCAGAGUUGACAAAUUAUUUUAAAUGUCCAGUUUCAACAACAACAACAACAACAACAACAACAACAAAAAGGAGAUAUAAUCAAACAGAAAAGUAUAGCCCAUAAACAGGAAAAUUAGCAGUUAACAGAAACUGUUCUUGAGGAAGUCCAAAAGUUGGACUUACAAGAAUUUUAAAUCACCUAUAAUAAAUUAGUUCAAAGAACUAAAAGAAAUCAUGUCUAAGAAUUAAAGGAAAGUAUACAAAUGAUGUCUCCCCACAUAGAGGAUAACAAUAAAGAGAUAUAAAUUAUUAAUCUUUAAUUAAUUAAUUUAUUUUUAAAGAUUUUAUUUAUUCAUGAGAGAAUAAAAAAUUAAUAAUUUUUAAUUAAUUUAUUUUUAAAGAUUUUAUUUAUUCAUGAGAGAGAGAGAGAGAGCGCAGCAGAGAGACAGAAGCAGAGGGAGAAGCAGGCUCCACGCAGGGAGCCUGAUGUGGGACUCAAUCCCAGGACUCCAGGAUCAUGCCCUGGGCUGAAGGAGGUGCUAAUCCUUGAGCCACC